AACAACCCCCUCCCCCCUUUUAAUCCCCACACCAGCACAGCAAACCCUAGCCCCUCUCCCACCUGCCGCCACCUACCUUCCUCCACCCAUUCUUUUCUCUCUUCUCUGUGAGCAAACUAAGGAGAACAACCCCACAGCACCACCUCCUCGCCAUGGCGCCGCCGCUCCAGAGCAUCCCCAGCCGUUCUGAGGGCACCGCUACAACCGCCUCGUCGCCGUCUAUGCCGUGGUGCAAGGAAUCAAGCCAGAGCUUCCCGAGUUGAGCACAACGUCGCCAAUUCCCCGCGCCAUUCGCCACCCUUCUCCCUCGAUUCCGGCCACCCCAAGUCUCCCCUUGCCUGGCUGAACCUCCCUUGACCUUUCUGGUGCUCGUCGCCGGCCAUCCUCCGGUGGUUCCCCGGCGCCCAGACCACCACCAACAGACUCACCUUGAUCCCCUGCAGCGAACGCGCCAUCUCGCAGGCCCCGGUUCGCCCUGAGUCGCUAGAUCAGUGCAUGACCAGAUCUCAUCUCCGUCAUGGCUGCACAAGUUCGUCCUCGCCACUGUUGUUCAAGUUGCCCCGCUCCCUUCUCUUGACAUAAUCGAACCAGUAACACAGUGAUCCGAAACCAGCAAUGGGCCUCAGCCCAGAUCUUCCCGGCAGCCCGUUGCCCCGCACGGCCCGAAGCUAACCAUCGCCACCAGCAGGCCACAUCGGGCCCUGGACAGUGCAGUAUUUGCUUCUUCUCGGAUAGGAUCGCGAAGUGGUGAUAUGAGAUACGACAAGUUCUUCUGCUGCUUUUCACAGGCGAUCCCUCUCUCUUCACCUAUUAUACACUCUCCCUCGCACUACUAUCCUUAUGUUGCGAUUCUUUAUCGAGUCACGUGUCCUAUUCCACUUGUUUACCAUAAUAAUCCUAUAUGUAUCAUUCCUUACCCAUAGCCGUUGCUUGAUGUUUGAGCCUUGCGAGUCGUAGGCGUGUUUAGUCUCUGUUGUUUAUCUCGAUCUGUUAUCGGGAUAUGUUGGGUUGUUGGGAGGUUAUCACAUGCUAUAUCAGUUGUUGGAGAUACACAUGCUUUACUUAUUUGUUAACAACUAAAAUUGUAAGCAGAGGCAUCUGUGAGCCCCUUUGCGAAAGCAUCGGAACUUUGACUUGCUAAUGUCCCCUAGGACCCGAGUUCUUGUUAUCUGUUCCGAGAUUGAGCGCUCUACCCAUACGUGGGGGAGUGGGACCCCCAUCACCCACUACCUUUCCUCGAGUCUGUUUAUUGGGAGCCACAACCUUGGUUUUAUUUGCCCAUAUGCACGAUGCACGAUUUAUUUCCUGUUGCCUUCGGGUGUUUAUUUCUGUACUGUACUCAUAUUGCGGAUAGACUUAUCAUGUGCCUGGUCGUUAGUGCCCGCCUGGACUAUGUCGCAAACCUCUGGGUCCGUAUCGGAGUACGGCCGAACUUCGUCACGGGUAGCUUAGUUGGGUGGCUCCCAUUAAACUUUGUCUUGCAUUGGGAACGGUCUUGAUGUGAGACUCCACCUGUAGUAAGUGGGUUCGAGCAUGCGUAUGGUUACAUUUGGGCAACCCCUGCAGGGUGUACAUCUUAUCGAUAAGCCGUGUCCGCGGUUAUGGACGACUUGGAAUUGUAUGGCUUGAUCAUAGAACAACUUACACCGUUAUCUUGUUGCUAAUAAUCUGAUAAUAACUUGCGUAGUAAUAUAGCAUUACUACAACCGAUACCUAAUAAAACUUGUCCACCGUUGAGUGCCUUUUACAUUGCCUCUUCGCAAUUGUUGAAGGGGAUAUGUGUAAUUGGCUGGGUUAUGUUUGUGUAGUAUUAUAUCUGUUACCUUAUGCGCUCUCUUAUCUUCUCUGAUUAGACGGAUGUUGUAGUGUGUCUCCAUUGGUUAUAGUUUUGAUGCCGCUAAACCUACCAUAUAGCCCCCGGCGAUAUAUAUAUAUA